UCUUCUUCUUCUUCUCUCUCUCUCCCCCUAAUGUGUUUCGAUUUGGUCCUGAUGUGUUUCGAUUUGGUAGGCCUGCCUCUUCUUCUCUCUCUCCCCCUAAUCUUGCUGCUCAGUUAGUCAACAAAUGAGAUGUUAAGAUAGUUCACCUGGUGUGAACAGGUCGACGGCAGUGGCAGCAGGCGGCGCAUGCAGGGCUCGUGCAGCGCCCCGACGUCUCACGCACGAGCUGCCUUUCGAGCUGCUGCAGGUCGGCAAGCUGAGCAAGGUAAUGGAAGUGCGCCUUAUAUUAAUAGGAUGAGCAUGGAUGAAACCAAAAGGAGGGGCAAUGGCAACCUCGACAAUGAAGAUGAUGUUGUGAUGAGGAAUGAUUCAACUCCAAGAGAGCCAGCAUGGAAAGGACUUAUAACCAAUGACAUCUCUUAUAUUUGGAACCAUGGCCCCAAGUUUGGUGGGGGAUUUGAUUGUUGGUACUGCCACCUAAUCAGUAGAGGAGGAGGCGCAACCCGCUUUAGGGAGCACCUUGGUGGUAUACCAGGUGAAGUGAGGGUGUGCCCUAAUGUUCCAAGAAAUGUGUGUGCUGCAAUGAGGGACUCUCGUGAUGAUGCAAGGCGGAAGAAGAGGGAGAAGACAAAUCGUAAAAUCCGCUGUGUUUGAGCAACUACACUGGAUGGUGACCCUUUUUUCUCCUCACUAAAAGUUGGGUAUUCAUAUAUGUAGGAACCAAAGGAUGUGGAUCUCCUGAACAUAACCUCCAUGGCAUGUCCUGCCUUACCUCUGUGCCCUCUAGCACAAACACAAGCUGAACGAGGGAUCCUACUGAUUCUUAAACGAAUUAGAGCAGUUUUCGACAAGGUUGGCAUCAAGGAAGAGGAGUCUGUAGUUGUGAGGAUAACUGGUUGCCCUAAUGGAUGCGCCAGACCAUACAUGGCCGAGGUUGGCUUUGUUUAUGACGGCCCAAACAGUUAUCAGAUCUGGCUUGGAGGAACACCAAACCAGACCACCUUGGCAGAAACGUUCAUGAAUAAAGUGAAGCUUCAAGAUAUUGAGAAGGUUUUGGAACCACUGUUUUCCUAUUGGAAUAUCACGCGCCAGGAAGGCGAAUCUUUUGGGAGCUUCACGAACGGAAUGGUGAGCGGAUUCUGUUCUUCCAUCGAAUACUAUUGCAGUUUAGUCAUUUGGGAAGGAAUUUUUUGGACCUUCCGAGAGAAUAAGGGAGACAUUUAGUCAGAAGCCCCCAAAUGUUGUCUCUUUCCUGCUAUGUAGAGAGCACCAUUCAUCUGGGAGUUGCUUACUAAAUGGUACUCCCUCUAUACACUAAUGUAAGACGUUUUUGCAGUUCCUUACAUUAGUGUACAGAGGCGAGUACAAACUAGCAAGAUUGUUAAAUUGUUGCUUUCUGUUAGUUGUCAUCAGUAUAAGCGCUGGACUAAUUGAUAUGGCUUCGCAGAUAGUUUUGAUACCGGGAAAUGCCUAAGCUGCGCAAUAUGUGUGUCGACAUAGCCUGCAGUUUGAGUUUGAGUUUGAGGUUCUACCUGUGUCCGGCAUCGGGGCAAUUCAGUGGAUUUGUUGCACCAAAUGAACCCCAAUCGUUUAUUUUCAAAAGUUUUUAUUACUCACUUGUGCAUGCAUUUUUUUAUUUACAUGGACAACAUAGCUUUUGCAGCAAUCCUUCUUACACACUUUCACAGCAAGGACACAUA